GAAGAGGUGAAGGAGAUGCUGAAAUCGGCGAAUUUGGAAGUGAUGGGGUUGGUUAAGAAAGGCUUGUCGGGAGCUCCACCUCACUUAGAGGAGAAACUAAUCAAGGCCGACGAAGUGAUAAAAAGUGAAAUAGAGAAGGUGAUUGACAAAUCAGGCCUAAGAGGGAAGUUGGAUGAGUUGAAGGAGGAAUUUAGGAGGGGCGCGGAUAAGGAGAAGCUGGAGAGCUUGGUGGGGGAGAUUCGGGAAGGGAUUCUCGCCCAUUUGGAUUCCACAGAGCUGAAGAAGAAAGUUGAGAGUAGCGUAGACUUGCCAGAGCGAGAAGCGGUUGUUGGUAAUGAUCGGGCGAGAGGUUAAUUUUACUAGGUUACUUUUAUAUAAGAGUCGUGUGAAAGUUUUUUCGGGUAACUUUAGGUGUUGUUUAUUUGUUCGUGAC
rnacentral:misc_RNA from 1 species